UUUGGACGCAUGUGAACAGUGCAGUCCGUGAUGAUGAAGAUGAUGAUGAUGCUGGCUGCAGCUCUGCAGACUAUCGCGGCUGCGGAAUGAGCCGCGAGGAGCUGUCCAAGGUGCUGGAGAGCCGCGGUGUUUUAACCACCGCUCCCUCGCUGGUAAAGUCGAGACUAAACGCGUGAACUGACGUGGAUGCCGAGCAGCGCAACACGGCCCGAGUUAAUAAAUGGGAGCGCACAUCCUCCGAGUGUUUGAGAGAUCAUGGAGAGAUUUUUCCUGCUCGUCCUCAGCGGCUGCCUCGGUGUCUCUCGAGUCACGGCGGAUAGCCUGUCGCCUCCCAUCAAUGUGACCAUCAGGGAAGUGAAAGCAAACUCUGCUGUGGUGUCAUGGGACAUCCCCGAGGGAGACCCCGUCAUUGGCUUUGCCAUCACACAGCAGAAGAAAGACGUGCGCAUGCUGCGGUUAAUCCAGGAAGUCAACACCACCACACGCUCCUGUGCAUUAUGGGACUUGGAAGAGGAGACAGAUUACAUUGUGCAUGUCCAGUCCAUCAGCAUGUUCGGGACGAGCCCGCUGAGCGAACCACUGCGCUUCCGAACCCCAAAGGAGGCCGAGACCCAGGGCACUAAGAACGAAGUGACCAUGGAGGAGGUGGGUCAGGCGACCCAGCUGAGGGCUGGAGAGCUCAUUAUCAUUGUGGUAGUACUCAUCAUGUGGGCAGGUGUGAUUGCCCUUUUCUGUCGCCAGUAUGACAUAAUCAAAGACAACGAGCCCAACAACAACAAGGACAAAGCCAAAAACUCCUCGGAGUGCAGCACUCCUGAACACCCGACGGGGGGGCUGCUGCGCAGUAAGGUAUAACCCACCCCUCUGCUCCUUGUCCUCCUCCUCCUCUCCCCGGGUGCCUCCCUUCUCAGCGACGCUGGCCAGUUCCCCAAAAACAACAACAACAACAACAGGUUGCCAUCUGUUAACAUCAUUGAGGUGUGACUGCCAAUAGCUCUUCUCUUUGCUCAAAAGACUUCAUGCAGACAACGAGCCCCUAUUGAGUCUUUCUGUUGUCAGAAUGAUGCUGGGACCGAGGGACUCUGUUCUUCUUCAACACCGCUUCUGGUGAGGAGGUGAAGCUGCAGGGACUCCAGAGGAGGUGGAGGAAAGAGGCUGAGCUAAGCCUCGCUUUCUAUGAGAGCAGAGAGACUGCAGGAAGAGCUCAGCUCUGAGUCUGUGCUCGCUGAUAGAACAUGGGCCCCUGAUCGUCAGGGUUAUGGGGAGCCUGCAGAAGAACCAACCCAAGGGACCAAAGCUGAUCCAAAAAAGAGCCAGGAUCCAUUACCAGAUAAAUGAGUAUUUAACUUUCCUGGGUGGUACUAUGAGCUUCUUUAACCCCUUAUUUCCUUCAUGGGAUUAACUACUACUUUUGAUGUUUUGGUAUCAGUUUGGGCUUUUUUAGUAAACCAACAUGCAGAGACUCUUUGCUGCGGUACGUUUGUUUUCCCCCCUCAGGGAAUCCAGACUCAACCUGGGUUUAAAAAAAAAGACCCAUUUCCAGUCCAGCCUGCCGGCUUUAGAGGGAUCGGUCACCUAAAUCACUCGAAGUCAUUAACUUAUAUUUACAGCAUAGUUGGUUUAGGACUAGCCUGUGAUUCUCCUCAUCUUUUUUUAUUAUAGACUUCAGAAACGUAACAUUCCUCUCCCUGAACGAGCCCUUUAUUACCUACUGGUGUCUUUCUUUCUGGGUGUGAUGGAUUGUACAUCGUUCUCAUGAGGAGCAGAAGCCCCCCCCCCUCCUUAUGGAGUUCAUUCAUCUAAUUAAUUAACUACACAUGGGGCUGGACUCUACGGACGUCUGAGGAGAGAUUCCUUCAAUCAGCAAUAACAGUCUCUCAGUAGAAGCUAAAGAAGUCGGUUUCUCUGGAAAAAGGACUGUCAGCGAGUAAAAGAUGAACAAACUGGACGUUCGGUUUGCUGGAGUAAAGCUUGCGGAUCAUUUUUCAGUGAUCCCCUUAAAAAAAAAAGCCUUUUUCAGCGCUGUUAAAAAAAUAUAUUUCUCUUGGCAAGCAUGAAAAACUAUUUUUUAACAGGCCCAAAGGUGGGAACUGUGAGUUUUCUUUACGGCAUUCUGAACAGAUGCCGAGCCAGAAGGGCUUCUUUCAAGACUUUUUCAAUUAUUAAAAUAACCAUAUGUUGGAAUUCCAUGUUAAUGAGGAUAAGUAUCGUGAUAGGUGUAUACAUGAUUUAUCUGAGGGCUGAUUUAAACUCAGUAGUACUGCCUUAACAAUAAUUGUAUUCCAUGACUAAAAUGUAUGGCUCUGUAUCUCAUUUCUGUGGCAUUAUAUUUACCUUUCAUUCAAUAUUUAAAUGUUUGUGGCGACUAAAAGGAGUCUGUGGAAUAGAGGAAAAGGCAAGUAUCAGAAAUGUAAAUACACUUUAAUUAUAUUAUUUAUCAUGUAAAGCUUCUCUAGAGAUAAUUUGUGGGAUAAGGCUAUUGGGGAAAUUAUCUCCAAAUGUAGGAAAACUAGGAUAUAAAUGUCGUUUUAUGAAAUGCUUUUUAUUUUAAAUGCAUUUUUAUGACUUUGUUCCCUAAUUUAUUGACAGGCUUUUAUGACCAGCUCUUACAUCUUUACCAGAGCUCUGAAUAAAAGUACAAAAAGUUUGAAACCGUGCCCCUCUAGUGACCAGAGACUGAUUUUGAAGUCUGCACUGCAAAAAAUUUAAAUCUCAAGUGAUAUUUUUAUUAAAAUAAGUGCAUUUUUUCUUGAAUUGAGGUAAGUGAGACACC